rnacentral:lncRNA from 1 species
GAAAGCUUCUAACAGCUCUGCCACUUUGCAGAGGCUGUGGAUGCCAGGUGCAGCAAUCUCCGGGGGAGUGAGCACCGCUCAGGGGACACCAACUGCUCCUGACUACGCGUUCCCCAAGUUUCGGUUCGUUGUGAUCAGCAGAGCGGUGGUCAAGGCUCUGGCCGCCCAGCACAGGAAGGCUUCAGAACAGCACAGGAUGAGAAGAGCUACAGAGGGGCUUCUUGAGAAGGUGCUGCAGAGGCCAAGGAAUCUUUCCCUCCCCGUGCUGCCAAGCCAGAGUCCAGGCACAAGGCAGCAAGACAUGGGGAAGAAGACUUCUUCCAGGUGAGACCUCCUUAGAUGGGAUGAAAGGGAUCCCUAAGCCCAUGUAGAGCCCAUGAGAGACAUGUCCUUCAGACACUCCAGCUGCAG